rnacentral:tRNA from 1 species
GGAUGUAGCUUAGUUGGUAGAGUGCUUGCCUCCCAUCCACAAGGCCCUGGGUUUGAUUCCCAGCACCA